rnacentral:rRNA from 1 species
CGCAUCUGUGCAUGCAGCAUAUUCAAUAAGCGGAGGAAAAGAAACUAACAAGGAUUCCCCUAGUAACGGCGAGUGAAGCGGGAAGAGCUCAAAUUUGAAAUCUUAAAGGGUUUCCCUUUACGAAUUGUAGUUUAAAGAAGUGUUUUCUGUUGAGGUUUUGGUAAAAGUUCUUUGGAAUAGGACAUCAUAGAGGGUGAGAAUCCCGUAUUUGACCUUUACUUUCAACUUUGUGAUACACUUUCAAAGAGUCGGAUUGUUUGGGAAUGCAGUCCAAAAUGGGUGGUAAAUUUCAUCUAAAGCUAAAUAUUGGCGAGAGACCGAUAGCGAACAAGUACCGUGAGGGAAAGAUGAAAAGAACUUUGAAAAGAGAGUUAAACAGUACGUGAAAUUGUCAAAAGGGAAGCGUUUGACACCAGUGUUGUUUUUCUGAAAAUCAAUUAAAGAACUGUUUAUGCUAAGUUGUUUAGACUUUAUCAGCUAACUGUUUAGUUUUGAGCUUUUCUUUAAUGCACUUUUCAGUUAACAAGUCAACAUCAGUUUCUUUUGCUGUAAAAAAGCUUGAGGAAGGUGGCUUGAGAUUCGUCUUAAGUGUUUAUAGCCUCUUGCCUAUGCAGUCGGAGAGAUUGAGGUCUGCAGCGUAGAUCCUUCGGGGCUAAAUGCAUUUGUGCUAAGUUAUAACAUUUUAUAGACAACUUGUUGACUAUGAUUUGUCUUGUAGCUUACUCGCUUAUGUUAUUUUACCUACGCUUAGGAUGUUGACAGCAGUAUAGACUGU